UUGGAUGCAGCUGCCGAGCCGCCGGGGAGUUGCGGGCUGAUCGCCGCUGUCCGGGGAGGUCUGGCUGGAACGUGGUUUCUCGUGGGGUCAGUGCGGCAUGGGGGACGCGGCGCAGAGAGCCGGGCCCUGCUCUCGUAUCUUCGCUCCGGCCAGGAGCCGCGGGCUCUCCGAGCUGUGGGCUGACGGGGAACCGGACCCCCGGAUUCCGGAGGCCCAGAGGCCCAGAGCGCCCCCAGCGCAGAGGAAGAGGAGAGGCGGAAGGGGAAAGGAAUUUCCAGGAGAGAAUUGCUUAAAGGGAAAUCUGAACGGAGCCUGAGUUUCUUACUGUUUGUGACAGCAGCUUUGGUGCAACGGGCCGAACUUCAAUCUUGGGUCUGCACCCCGGACCCCGGAUUAUUUGAAGACCGGAGAAGAUACCAAAGAGAAGACCAUUAGAAUAUACUUUUGAGUGAGCAGCUCCAUCACUGUCAUCAUGAAAAGGCUCAGAAGGGAUGUGUCCCCAUGAUGUUUAUUUGAAGAAGGCUGUGAAUGUGAGGCUAAAGUAGAAAAGCAAAGGGAAGACACUAUAGGCAAAAUUUCAAAAAAAUGUCUUGCUCAAACCACUGGUUUUCAGCAAGUAGUAGUUGCCCAUGAAGAAAUAGCCUUUCAGGAAAAUAGGCAUAAUUUCAGUGAAUUUGAGAGAAGUUUUGACCUAAGGUAUAAACUUAUUCCACAGCAUAUUACUCAUUCAGAAAAAAAGCCACUUAUAUUUGAUCCAUUUGGGUAAAGUGUCAAAUGGAACUUAUCUCCAAUUAAAAGGCAAAGAAAUUCUAAAAAGAAAACUUGUAGUGAAUGUGGAAAACAUUUUAGUGACCAUUCAAACUUUUUUUCGUCAUCAGAGAAUUCAUACUGGUGAGAAACCUUAUAAAUGUGAUGACUGUGGAAAAGCAUUUAGCCAGAGUUCAUCUCUUACUGAACAUCAGCGAACUCAUACUGGAGAAAAAUCCUAGAAAUGUAAAGUCUGUGGAAAAGCAUUCACUGUAAAUUCAUAUCUUACUCAGCAUCAGAGAAUUCAUACUGGGAGAAAUCUUAUAAAUGUGAUGAAUGUGGGAAAGUCUUCAGUGACUACUCAUCAUUUAUUCAACAUCAAAGAAUUCGUAGUGGAGAGAAACCCUAUGAAUGUAUUAUUUACGGGAAGUCCUUCACUGAUAUCUCAUCACUUACACAACAUCAGAGAAUUUACACUGGAGUGAAACCCUAUACAUGUAAUGAUUGUGAGAAGGAAUUCAGACGAAGUACACACCUUAUCCAGCAUCAGAGAAAUCAUACUGGGGAAAAGCCUUAUAAAUGUAAUGAAUGUAGAAAAGCAUUCACUGCCCAGUCAGCUUUUACACAACAUCAAAGGAGUCACCCUGAAGAAAAACCCUAUACAUGCUGUGAAUGUGGGAAAGGAAAGGCUUCCCUGAAAACUCCUCUCUUACUAAACAGCGAAUUCAUACUGGAGAGAAGCCCUAUGAAUGUAAUGAAUGUGGUAAAGCUUUUAGCCAGAGCACUCACCUUAUUCAACAUCAGAGAAUUCAUACUGGAGAAAAGCCCUUUAAAUGUGAUAAAUGUGGAAAAGCAUUUGGUAAUAGUUCAGUGCUGAUCAGACAUCAGCAGCUUCAUACUUUAGAGUCAUCCUAAUGACUCUAUAAUUUUGUGGACCACUUCAUCCUUUCAUGACCUACUCUGACUUUUUGAUCACAGGUCUCACCCAUGUCACCCACUCCUCUGCCUAAAGUCAUAAUAUCUAGGAAUAGAUAUUAUUUUAUCCUGGGAUAAAGUAGAACAUAAUAUUUCUAAUAUAAGUUCCCCAAACCAAAGCUGUUGUAAGCAGCAAUUUCAAUGGAUUAUAGCAACCUUCCUACAUCUAUCCUGGAUUUUUGUGGUUGAUACUCCAUCUCCCUGGGAAUCUCCUCCAGACCUUAAUCCGUGAUAUAAGGCUGCUUUCUGCCACCAAAGGUUCCUGAUUCAAAUGUUCUCCUCUUUCAUUUCAGGGAUUCCUCAUUAUUAAAAACAAUUACAGGAAUCAAUAUAGUCAGCCAUAUUUCCCAGAUAUACCUGCCCAAAAUGCCACUGGUUCAUAAGUCUGAGAUUAAAUAUGAAUAACAUAAAAUAAUACAAUGUCAUGAGAAUCAUUCCACAUUGGCAAUUUGGUUUAUGUAUCCACCUGCUCUUUCAACCUGAUCAUCUAAAAGGUUGGGCCACUGAAUGAAAUGAAAAAGUUCAUUGGUGUUUUGAGACUCCAAAGCAAGUCUUGUUACUGCCUGUAUCUUCCAGUCUUCCAGAAUCCACCAUAUUUUUCAUAUGUUUCUUUCCAUUCCAGGUGACCUUAAUCACUCAUGUUCACCACCACCAUUAUGUGUUAGUCAAAGAGAUGAAGAAGUUUAGUGUGCUUACAAAUGUUCAGCUCACCAUAAACAUAGCUGACUUGUGUUCUUGUUAGACUGUGUCCAAAGAUGUAACCUGGAAUCUAGUUUCCCACUUCAAUACUCUAGCUCAGAGUGGCUUUUUAUCAGUGGUAAUCAACCUACCCUCUGCCCUCGUCCACUCUUGGGACAGAAUUCAAGUAGAAAUUGCAUUGAAAACCACUAUUCCUCAGCAUGGGCAGAGAAAGCCCAAGUGGGACUGGGAACUUAGCUAAUUUCAAAACACUGUUAAGUCUUUAGACUCACUGUUAGGGCAGUUGCUACUUAAACUAGUUGUGCUGAACUGUUUUGCACUUUGGAA